GAUGAAGAACGCAGCAAAAUGCGAUACUUGGUGUGAAUUGCAGAAUCCCGUGAACCAUCGAGUUUUUGAACGCAAGUUGCGCCCGAAGCCUUUUGGCCGAGGGCACGUCUGCCUGGGCGUCACGCAUCGCGUCGCCCCCCACAAUUCUCCGUAAAGGGAACGUGUGUUUUGGGGGCGGAUAUUGGUCUCCCGUGCUCAUGGCGUGGUUGGCCAAAAUAGGAGUCCUUUCGAUGGACGCACGAACUAGUGGUGGUCGUAAAAACCCUCGUCUUUUGUUUCGUGCUGUUGCUCGCAAUGUAAACUCUUUAAAAACCCCAAUGUGUCGUCUCUUGACGACGCUUCGACCGCGACCCCAGGUCAGGCGGGACUACCCGCUGAGUUUAAGCAUAUCAAUAAGCGGAGGA
rnacentral:misc_RNA from 1 species